GACGAACGCUGGCGGCGUGCUUAACACAUGCAAGUCGAGCGGUAAGGCCCUUUCGGGGGUACACGAGCGGCGAACGGGUGAGUAACACGUGGGUGACCUGCCCUCAGCUCUGGGAUAGGCCUGGGAAACCGGGUCUAAUACCGGAUAUGACUCCAUGACGCAUGUUGUGGGGUGGAAAGCCUUGUGCGGCUGAGGAUGGGCCCGCGGCCUAUCAGCUUGUUGGUGGGGUGAUGGCUUACCAAGGCGACGACGGGUAGCCGGCCUGAGAGGGCGACCGGCCACACUGGGACUGAGACACGGCCCAGACUCCUACGGGAGGCAGCAGUGGGGAAUCUUGCGCAAUGGGCGAAAGCCUGACGCAGCGACGCCGCGUGAGGGAUGACGGCCU
rnacentral:rRNA from 1 species